rnacentral:rRNA from 1 species
GACGAACGCUGGCGGCGUGCUUAACACAUGCAAGUCGAACGGAAAGGCACUGCUUUUGUGGGGUGCUCGAGUGGCGAACGGGUGAGUAACACGUGAGUAACCUGCCCUUGACUUUGGGAUAACUUCAGGAAACUGGGGCUAAUACUGGAUAGGAGCUCCUGCUGCAUGGUGGGGGUUGGAAAGUUUCGGCGGUUGGGGAUGGACUCGCGGCUUAUCAGCUUGUUGGUGGGGUAGUGGCUUACCAAGGCUUUGACGGGUAGCCGGCCUGAGAGGGUGACCGGCCACAUUGGGACUGAGAUACGGCCCAGACUCCUACGGGAGGCAGCAGUGGGGAAUAUUGCACAAUGGGCGGAAGCCUGAUGCAGCAACGCCGCGUGCGGGAUGACGGCCUUCGGGUUGUAAACCGCUUUCGCCUGCGACGAAGCGUGAGUGACGGUAAUGGGUAAAGAAGCACCGGCUAACUACGUG